rnacentral:rRNA from 1 species
AUUCCGGUUGAUCCUGCCGGAGGCCAUUGCUAUCGGAGUCCGAUUUAGCCAUGGUAGAUGCGCGGGAUUUAGACCCGCAGCGGAAAGCUCACUAACACGUGGCCAAACUACCCUGUGGAUGGGAACCAUCUCGGGAAACUGAGGCUAAUUCCCAAUAACGCUCCACCCCUGGAACGGGCGGAGCUGGAAACGCUACGGCGCCACAGGAUGUGGCUGCGGUCGAUUAGGUAGACGGUGGGGUAAC